GUGAGGUGUCUGUGUUGAUGACCAAGGAUGUUGAGUGAUAAUCUGCACAUCUUAAAGAGCUCAGCUUUUUUUCUUCACCUCCACUCCUUGAUGGAAGUCCACUCGUUGUUGACUUUGUCAGUGCUACAGAAUUCCAAGUGAGGUCCUGAAAGUGUUAAUAGCGGUUUCUCCUGAGAAAAUCAACAGCUGCUGAGUAAUGCAGGAGCCUCAGCCCUUGUGUGGUGACCUGACUCAUGAAGGAAGGCGAGUGCAGAUAAGGCUUUUUAUUUUAUUUUUAUUUAUGAAUGUUCUCU